rnacentral:rRNA from 1 species
AACGAACGCUGGCGGCAUGCCUAACACAUGCAAGUCGAACGAGACCUUCGGGUCUAGUGGCGCACGGGUGCGUAACGCGUGGGAACCUGCCCUUAGGUUCGGAAUACUUCCCUGACAGGGGUGCUAAUACCGGAUAAUGUACUCGAACCAAAGAUUCAUCGCGUUUGGAUGAGCCCGCGUUGGAUUAGCUAGUGGGUAGGGUAAAAGCCUACCACGGCGAGGCUCCAUAGCUGGUCUGAGAGGAGGCGCAGCCACACUGGGGCUGGGACACGGCCCAGACUCCUACGGGAGGCAGGAGUGGGGAAUAUAGGACAAUGGGCGAAAGCCUGAACCAGCAAUGCCGGGUGAGUGAUGAAGGCCUUAGGGUUGUAAAGCUCUUUUACCCGGGAUGAUAAUGACAGUACCGGGAGAAUAAGCUCCGGCUAACUCCGUG